UACAUGGGGUGCAAACGUUGCUCGGAAUUAUUGGGCGUAAAGCGCACGUAGGCGGUCCGUUAAGUCAGAUGUGAAAGCCCCCGGCUCAACCGGGGAAGUGCAUCUGAAACUGGCGGGCUAGAGUACGAAAGAGGGUCGCGGAAUUCCCGGUGUAGAGGUGAAAUUCGUAGAUAUUCGGAAGAACACCAGUGGCGAAGGCGACUGACUGGACAAGUAUUGAGCGCUGAGGUGCGAAAGCGUGGGGAGCAAACAGG
rnacentral:rRNA from 1 species